rnacentral:lncRNA from 1 species
UCAGGUUUGAGUGUUAACGUUUCUCGGACCAACAUAUUUUUGGUCAUGCCAAGUAAUCCUUGAUCACAACUCUGUUGGACCUCCUACGGCAUCCAUUAGUUAUUAAAAAGAUUAGAUAAAAGAACAUAUAAACCUAUCAAAUGUACCGUUUUUGAAAUAAAAAUAUUGCCAGUGGACCACUCAAACCUCCUUUUUUGGCGCUUACAAUUUUCAACCCUCGAAUUAAGCUUUCCAAACUAACUAAAAUUAAAAACUUGCUUUCUAACCGAUCUUUUCGUGUACCGGACAGGCACCACUCGUUAUUUUAUAAGAAAAGCCUGCUAUGGUCUAAUACACAUGCAUGUUGUCUACUUGGGAGUUUCCGCACAAACACUUGACUCAGAAUAAACAUCGAAUACGGCAGUGGAACUACCAUUCAUUUUUUUGGGCAAAGGUUACCGGGUUAAUACCGAGUUCAAAAUAUACAUGAAAUAUCAUAACUCCGAG